rnacentral:lncRNA from 1 species
AAAAAACGCCAAAGAAAGAACACCCGAAACGCUAAAGAGACCACCCUUUCCUUGGGCUUUUUCAUCUCAUUUCAGUCUCACACUCACACUCAAUCACAUACACAUGCGUCUGAAAUGGUUAAGAAAAAUGGUUUGAAGUUCAGACAUCAAAGAUUGGAUGUUGCUUAGUCGCUGCUCACGCACGGAGCUCGCCUCUGAAGCGUUCUAUUUAGCAAAUAGAGUUUGACUGAGAUAAAACAGAAUCAAAAGGAGCUCUAGCCCGCAACGAAACUAAAAUGAAAUUAGUUGGAGACGGAUUCAGUGGGGCACCCCCUUAUAGCAGGUAUGCAACCAAACCUUCUUCUGAAGACUAUCUAUAAGUAGUAUUCAAAAGAAGAAAUUGAGGUUUGAUACCAUUUGUGUUCAAAAUAGGAUACCUCCUAGGUCAUUUCUUUUCUCCCCUUCUGCUGUUAUAGCUUCAACUUCUUUCUAAUAGCUGCUUGCUUGGCUUCAAAGCCUUAGCAGGUAUGCAACCAACCCUUCUUCUGAAGACUAUCUAUAAGUAGUAUUCAAAAGAAGAAAUUGAGGUUUGAUACCAUUUGUGUUCAAAAUAGGAUACCUCCUAGGUCAUUUCUUUUCUCCCCUUCUGCUGUUAUAGCUUCAACUUCUUUCUAAUAGCUGCUUGCUUGGCUUCAAAUCCUUACAAUCCCUUCGCCGCCUCCACAGAAAGAUUGGUCACUUUCUUUUUUUUUAAGAAAUAUUUUCUUGCAUUCAAUUUAGAUGUUCAUGUUUGUUUAUUUCUCUUGAACUCUAAUCGUGUUUGCUUCAUCUCUCAGCCGGCUUCCAAGGAACAUCUACUUCUAUUGUCGAACCAAACAAGAUAUAUUUUUCCUAAAGAUAAGAACCGGAAAGAUCUAAAGCUGAACGAAAUUCUACCGGAGAUGAGUAACAACGGACAAGUCCAAAUGAUGAUCAGCCAGCUAUUGUUCAAACAGCGCUUGUUGCUCCUGAGGGUCCUUUAGCUGCGGAUCCAGUUCAGCCGAAUCAAAAUAAAAAGGUGCCGUUCACAAGCGAGGAAGUUGGUCUGUUGAUUCAGGGUAUAACUGAAUUUGGAAUAGGCAACUGGGCAGCUAUUAAAAGAAAAUAUUUUUUGCAAAGACGGCGAACCUCUGGUGCCUUGAAGGUUAAUUAAAUCUUUUCUUUUUAAAAUUCUAUAAGAGUUCUAUUUUACUUCAAAACAUUUCUUUGUUACACAGCACAAAUAUAGAAGUUUGUGUACAACAGCCAAUAAUCCCCCAAACAAAAGAAAGGGAAAGGGAGAAUUCAAGGUGGACGAGGAAGCUCUAGCAAGAGUUAGAGAAGUUGAGGUUAGACAUCUGAUCACGAAAGCGAAAAUCAAGAUAUAGUGAGUUUAUGUUUUUCAAUAAUUGUUUUGCUUUUGUCUUAUAGGCUUAAGCGUAAUGCCAAGGGGAGUGAAGAUUGAAGACUCUUACUACUUCUUAGUAGUGCCAAUUUUGUAAUUCAAGAGAAAUUUCCACUUCUCUAAUUGUGAAAAAAAUAUCUAAUUGAGGUUAUUGUGAUAGAGAUUAUAUUCAUUCCAUAGAAACGUAUUAGCAACAUUUAAUACGUUAAAGUUUGAUUC